rnacentral:lncRNA from 1 species
CCACAAAGAACAAUAGUGCCGAGUUUGAGAAACCCUGGUCUACAUUCUGAACUCUGGAAUCAUGCUCCAGCCUUUCCUUAAUAGGGCAUAAAAAAUUCUUCACAUUUUGAAACAACUGGAAAAGGAAUAAGCCAGUUUCAAAUGUACACCACUUACAAUAGUUUUUCUUUUGAUAUUAAAAAUGCUUAAAGAUGGGGAAAUCAUUAAAGCUUUUUUACCUUCAAAGACACAAUAAGAAAUUAAUCCAAUAAAAAUAAACCACGAUUGCUCCACAUUGCCACUGCAGAUGGGCUGCUAUUUCAGUGAACAAGGGCAGCACUAAAAUGGGGCCCAUCGUGUUGAUAAUCCAUUCAGUACUACUGCUAAUAUCCAUAAAGUAAUUCCUUUUCUGGGAUAGAAAAGAAUAAAAAAUUACCACAUAUAGAGACCUUGCAUCUGUGGAUGAUUAUAUACAUGUACCCAGUAAUAAAAUUUUUCUAGCUUUACAGCUAUCUGGGGAGAAGUUUAGGACC